rnacentral:rRNA from 1 species
AGCAGCCGCGGUAAUUCCAGCUCCAAUAGCGUAUAUUAAAGUUGUUGCAGUUAAAAAGCUCGUAGUUGAAUUUCGGAGUUUGUCGGUUGGUCGGGCUUCACUGUCCGCACUGGCCUGAUGGAUUCCUACCUUCUGAAUAACUAGCAUGCUAUUAAUUUAGUGCGUUGGGGAAGCAGAGCUAUUACCUUGAAAAAUUAGAGUGCUUAAAGCAGGCUUACGCUUGAAUAGAUUAGCAUGGAAUAAUAAAAUAGGACGGCUUGGUUCUAUUUUGUUGGUUUCUAGGAUCACCGUAAUGAUUAAUAGGGAUAGUUGGGGGCAUUAGUAUUCAAUUGUCAGAGGUGAAAUUCUUGGAUUUAUUGAAGACUAACUUCUGCGAAAGCAUUUGCCAAGGAUGUUUUCAUUAAUCAAGAACGAAAGUUAGGGGAUCGAAGACGAUCAGAUACCGUCGUAGUCUUAGCCAUAAACUAUGCCGACUAGGGAUCGGACGAUGUUAAUUUUUUUAAUGACUCGUUCGGCGUCC